AACGAACGCUGGCGGCAUGCCUAACACAUGCAAGUCGAACGAGAUCUUCGGGUCUAGUGGCGCACGGGUGCGUAACGCGUGGGAAUCUGCCUUUGGGUUCGGAAUAACAGUUGGAACCGACUGCUAAUACCGGAUGAUGACGAAAGUCCAAAGAUUUAUCGCAAGAGGAUGAGCCCGCGUAGGAUUAGCUAGUUGGUGUGGUAAGGGCGCACCAAGGCGACGAUCAUUAGCUGGUCUGAGAGGAUGAUCAGCCACACUGGGACUGAGACACGGCCCAAACUCCUACGGGAGGCAGCAGUGGGGAAUAUUGGGCAAUGGGCGAAAGCCUGAUCCAGCAAUGCCGCGUGAGUGAUGAAGGCCUUAGGGUUGUAAAGCUCUUUUACCCGGGAUGAUAAUGACAGUACCGGGAGAAUAAGCUCCGGCUAACUCCGUGCCAGCAGCCGCCGUAA
rnacentral:rRNA from 1 species